AGCAUAUAACAUUAUAUUAGUUUCAAGUGUACAACGUAAUGAUUCAAUAUCAACUUCCUUUCAUGAGGCUGAAAUGUGACAAGCCAGGAAGGAGGGUGGAAGAGGAGUGAGUCCAUACCACAAGAAGGCAGGAUAGCAAAUAUUUUUGAGAUGAAGAGCUACCAUCCCAGGAGAUGGGAGAAACGCCUGGAAGGGAGAAGAGACCUGAAAAGUAUUUUCUCUUCCACCCAGGAGGCUCCUGGGGACCACUUUCUGAAUCCGGCAUCCUGCUUGUUGGUCUCUUUGCAGAGAUGUGCAGAAGCCCUGUGGAGUUCCUGAGGAAUCCUGCAGCUGCUGGGGCCUUGAGGAGAUGGGCAGUGUGUCUCCCAGUCCUUGUUAGUCCCACAAAUGGCCCAUUGAGGGGAGCAGGAGAAGGGAGAGGCAUCGAGGGCUGGCCCUGGGGUCCCUCAAUGGGAGUACUGUUCAGGCUUGGGUGGAAGCCAGCCCUGACACCAUGCUAGUUGUUAAAGCCUCAUUCUUCCCAAGGAGGCGGCUGGAAAGGCAGCAGAGCAGCUGAGGCUCCAGAGAAGCCCGUCAGAGAAACACCCUGAGAAUGGCUGCAGUUUUCCUGUUUCUCUUGAGCCCCGGAGGAUUUCAAAGUCUCUUUCAAAAUGAAGAAUGGAUCUUUGGAGAUUGCAAAGUACUAGACGCCCACUGUGGGAAACGUUGCUUUUCCUACCCACCAUCCAUACUCCUUUUUCCGAAUUCCUUUAAACAGCUCACAGUCAAGCAGAGAGACUGGUGUGAGUGCAAAGAAAUAUGGCAGGCACUGUGAGGAGAGUCUACUUUUGCCUGCCUGGGAAGACCCAAGGAAGAAGUGGCCAGUUGCUGUCUUAGCAGGAUGAAGAAAGAUCUCAUGGAAGAGGUGAUGCUAGAACUGUAUCUUCAAAGAUGAACAGAGGUUUUCAGCUAAAAAAAGUGUAGGAAAGACAGACCAGCCCAGCCUAGGAGAGAAAUGUCAACUGUGGACUAUUACCUGUCUUAAAAAUCUAUUACCUGCAGUAUGGAGAAGGCAGUUCAAUCUUGUAUGAUUAGCACAUGCCUGACUGGUAUGCUAUGCUGUCUAGAACAUAGAAACUUGUCGUCACACUUGUCGCCUCCUUCCUCCCUUCCCCAAAUUCAUAAAAUACUAUAAAAUUUUCUUGCUGGUAAGCAAGGCCAUAUAGAUGUUAGAGUUAAGUGUGGUGGGUAGACUCAGUAUUCCAUGUGUAAUCACCAGCUUGGGGGCUGUGAGUCAGUGGUGGGGAGACAGCAGCAUCAACAGCAGCACCAUCUGCCCUCCUUCUGGAUCAAAGUUAGAAUUGUACACCCUCGAAAUAAGUUGUCCAGUGGUGGCCCCCUGUCUUCCUCUUCAGCUCUUCCAAUAGUUUUGUAAGCUCCCCACUCCUUAUACUGAAUCCCUUUUGGCUGGAAAUACCUAGAGCAGGUCCUGGUGUCUGCACUGAAUUCUGACUGAUACGAUUCCCCACUGUGAGGUCUAGAAGGGCCAAGAGCUGUUUGUCUUGUUCUUCACUGCAUCCCCAGUACCAAGCACAGGGUUUGGCAGUAGUAGGUUCUCAGUAAACAGUUUUUGAGUAACUGUAUUAAAAGUCGUAAUAUGUAAACGGG
ensembl:lncRNA